GCCAAGGGCUAGAAGAUUGCCUUCAAAAUUUGGAGACCACCCUCAUUUGUCUCUUCCGGAGGAAAGUGGCUACAAGGCAUACAGGGGCCUAUCAUGACUGCCCAGUGAGCAGCUGAAAAAAUCAAAUGUAGAUGUUUAUACCCAACCAAUGGACAGAAGCUGGUGACCCCUGUGGUUGAAUUACAGAAAAGCUGGAAGAAGCUGAGGAGGAGGGUGGACCUAUACGAAGACCAGCAGUCUCAAGUAACCUGGACCUCAGGACCUCUCAGACACUGAGCCACCAACCAGGCAGCACACACCAGCUGAUAUGAGGCCCCCAACACAUAUACAGCAGAGGACUGCUGGGUCUGGACUCAGUCAGAGAAGAUGCACCUAACUCUUGAGAGACUUGAGGCCCCAGGGAGUGGAAGGUGUGGUGGGGGUGGAGAUGGGAGCAUCCUCUUGGAGAUGAGGGUUGGGGGGAGAGGAGAUAUGGGAUGUGGAACAGUCAGAGGGUGGACCGGGAUGGGGAUAAAGUCUGAACUAUAAAAGUUUAUAUAAUAAUAAUAGUAAUAAUGAUAAAAAGCACUUCCCCAGUGACUC
rnacentral:lncRNA from 1 species